rnacentral:rRNA from 1 species
UACGGAGGGUGCGAGCGUUGUCCGGAAUCACUGGGCGUAAAGCGCACGUAGGCGGAUUGCUAAGUCAGGGGUGAAAUCCUGGAGCUCAACUCCAGAACUGCCUUUGAUACUGAGGAUCUUGAGUUCGGGAGAGGUGAGUGGAACUGCGAGUGUAGAGGUGAAAUUCGUAGAUAUUCGCAAGAACACCAGUGGCGAAGGCGGCUUUCUGGUCUGUAACUGACGCUGAGGCGCGAAAGCUAGGGGAGCAAACAGG